rnacentral:rRNA from 1 species
GGCGUAAAGCGCAUGCAGGUGGUCUGUUAAGUCAGAUGUGAAAUCCCCGGGCUUAACCUGGGAACUGCAUUGGAAACUGGCAGACUGGAGUCCUGUAGAGGGGGGUAGAAUUUC